rnacentral:piRNA from 1 species
UAGACAAUUCACACCUGUAGCAUAAAGGCAG